CAAAAAAACAAAAAUCCUUCUUAAUUCCAUGGGUGAACAAGUGGAUGAUGGUGAUGGUAGAUUAGAAGCUUCUACUGUGGAUGAACCAAAUUUGCAUGACUAUGACACAAUUCAGGAACCUACGUGGGUAUGGUAUUUGAAUCAGAAGGGGCUGCCAAAACGUUUUAUGAUGGUUAUGCAAGACAAGUAGGGUUUUUGACGCGUGUUCUAUCUUCACAUAAGUCGGAGCGUGACAGCCUACUCUUCUCUCGUGGACUUGGAUGUAGAGGUUACUAUGAUGAUCAGACAAAUGUUCAACUUUAGAAGCAAGACAAGAAACGAGAAAGCUGCUCAGCAAUGAUUCAUUUGAGGAGAGAAGAAUGGGAGAUGGAUGAUUAAGAAAUUUAUAAGGGACCAUAAUCAUCCUUUGGUGAUUCAGUUAGAAGAAAGCCACAAAACACUUGAUGAAGAGAAGGAUAAGAAAAUCCAGGAAUUAACUGGGAAACUGCGGGUUAGGAAGCGGUUGAGUACAUCAUACCACGAGCAGCUAGAAGCAUUUGUGAAAGAAGUUGAAGAUCACAACUAUGACAUAUCAAUGAAAGUCCAAAGAACUUUGGACAAUUUGAAAAGGUUUGAUGCUGAGGCAAAGGAGCUUUUAAGCGGUUGAUAGCUUCCUCCUUUUUCUUUUUCACCUACGUGUAAUUGUGCUAUCUUUAUUUAGGUAUCUUUUGUGAUUUCCUUAUUAGUUCAUGAAAUCUCAACUUUUAUUAAUGGGCAUGAUUAGUUUGGAGGUUGCUGAAUUAGGGUAUUAUAGAAAAUACACGGGGGAAAUGGAAUUGACGUGUUGUUAUUUUCGGGCAAAAAUGCAUCAAAGAUUCUUGUACUUUAAAAAAAUUUAUUGUGGCUCUCAUAUUAUUUUUUCUCUCAAUGUGGCCCUCUAACUCAGAAAAUAAGUCAAAUGUGACCCUUUUAUCAACGUUUUUCGUUGUUGACCGUUACGAUGCUGACAUAGCAGUUAACGGUGCUAGGUAUCAGAUAGUAUUCUCGAUGAAAAUGGUAAUUUGAUUAACCCAUUUGAUUGACAUUUACAUACGGAACCACAUAUAGGUUUGGAGUUUGAGUCUGCAGAAGAUGCUA